GUAAUAAUCAAGUUUAUUUGUAUAGCAAAGUCAAAAUAAAACAAAAUUUAUCUUUAUUCUCAUGUGAGUUUAUUCUCAUAAUUUUAUGGGUUUUUUAUUAAUAUCUUCUUAGUAUGGUGCUAAUACAACGUCGCAUCUUUCUGUAUAUUUAUUAUUUUCGGCCAUUUUGGUGCCUAAAUGCGAACAAGUCUUGAGAGCAUAAAGGAAAAAAACCCAGCUGAACAUUUCCAGCUUCCAGACUGAGAUUAUCCGUCAGGCAACAGAAACACAGAUCCGUUUCAUUUCCAUGUGAACCAAAAUGUUUCUGUAUUUCAGGGUAACAAAAACAGGAAUCAAUCAGUCGUGAGACAACAAUGUAAAGACAAGAACUGUACAAUAAAUACAUCAGAGUUUUACACGUUGAGGUGACUUCCAUGAAAAAAUAAACACUGUUGACAGAAAGCACGUGGUCGCCACGAGUCCGUUUCAAGUCUUCACACGAGAACAGGAAGUGAUGAGCAGCCGCAGCUUCAUCUUUAUUUAAAAAAUAAAAUAAAAUAAAAAACAGAUUGGAUGAAACAGAAGAAAACAGAAGGCAUCGUGCAGCUAAGGAAUGCAGUGAGGGCCAAACUACCGACUUAACAGAUGCUACUUCAUGUUCCUGUACGGUUUUCCUGCCAGUGUCUGAAUUUCAAAGUUGAAUUUAACCUAAAAGUGCGAUUUAAAAUGUGGUUAUGCGGUGUAGCUCUGAGCAGUCAGUAUCUUAACUGCAGCAAAUUCAAUUUGAAAAAUACUUCACAAGAACUCUGAACAUGUAAGCAUAUGAUCCUAGAUUAAAGAAUCAGUAAAGAGCAGGUAUGGCAGGACAAUAAACGUAUCACAAUAUAAGCGUUUCAUAUCAGUCAACAUUGAUAAUUACUGAUCAGUUUUUUGUUUGUUUUAAAUAUGUGAAAUACUGCUGAACUGGCAGUGUGACGGCUUUUAUCCAGUUUUCACUCAACUCCGUUGUUUAUUUUUAAGCAGUUAAGAAGCAAAACCUUAAACUGCUGCAGCGCCGGUUACUCAACAAGUUGUCGCUAGGUAACCAAAGAGUGAGCGAGUUGCUAGGUAACCAAAGAGUGACCGAGUUAGUUGAUUCCACCAACCUAGCUUAACUAGCAAUGAGAGGUUGAGUAGCUAAAGUCUUUCCUCUCACUACAUCUCCCAGAAUGCUUUGCAGUUAUGGAUCUGAAUUAUUGAAUAUUCCAUCUAUUGAUAUUGAUCAUCUGUUUAUCACAAUAUAUGUCUGUGUCUGAAUUCAAGGUCCUGAAAAAAGGAUCGGUCUACGUGGGACGGGUCCUUCACAGACUGAACGACGACCGGAAGAGAAAAGCUGUGAAUUCGGACAGGUCUGGUCUUCACCAACUGCCCCAACUGCCCCCGCCUCAGCGCAACUCAUGUUGCCUAGCAACCAUGACAGCAUGAAGCAGAGAGCAGCAAAGAAAAUAACAACGCAGCCAAAGUUUGUUUUUCAGUCAUGCAUUACUCCUGAUUUCUGUAUUAUUCUUCACCUUUUAUAGUAAAUGCUGUUCCACAGGGAAAAUUAAUCUGUUAGUUUGAUUCUAAAAUAUUCAAACAUGUGUUGCACAUUUCUACCAGGAAUAAAUAUAAGCAAAUUAUUCAAUUUCAAAUAUAAUACUCUCCAAAUCUUGGAUAAGCUAUUAGUUAAAUAAAACUAGUUUGUUUGAAGGCUUAACUUUAAUCAAUCAAACUGAUUUGAUCAGGAAUAAAUUAAAUACUUUAGUAAACCAAACAUUUUACAACCAGAUAUUACCUGUGUGAAUAAUAUCAGUGUUUAACUUCCACUCAUUAGGGAAAGCUAGUGGGAGUUUUUGUAACAAUGUGCCGGGAGUCAGGCGUUCUGCUCCGGUAAACCCAACCUGAACUGCCGGCCAGCUGGCUGCUAACGCAGCGGCAGCAGACAGCAGGUGAUGUUUUGGUGAACCGAGCAGAUAUUGGAGAUUUACACACUGACAUUCACUUUGUGUCAUUUAAAGUAUAAAACAACUAAAUCAUUUGCCGCUCUUCACCGCCAUUGACGCUCUGCCUGACCGCCCAGUUUGGACCCGCAAUGAAUUAUGGGAUAUGGCGGGCCAUGAAGGACACACCGGACCCAUCCUUCAAAUUGGGGGAAGAGGAGAAAUCAUUUGGAGGAGUCUUCGAAUUCGAACAGGCCUUUUCGCUACGCUAUGACAUAAUCGGCCUACAAAUCCGUCCUUCGCAGGAGGCAGACCCUGAAUUCGGACCCGGCUCUUAUCGGACCUGAUUUACUGUCCAGCCUAGGAAUAAACGUCGGCAUUUAUCGUAACGUUUAGCAUUUAUCGUGACAAAUUUUGUGAUAAGCAUUUUGAUUUAACAGUAAAUUUCAGUUCAUAUUUUUAAAAAAUGAUUUAAAGUGUUUUUACUAUUUUCAGGGUUUUUUUCACAAGAACAUCAAUAUUUCUAAACCCAAUUUAGAUACGCUUAUUCUUUCUCCUGGUGAAAAAAAAAGUUUAGAUAUAAAAAUAGAACAAAUGAAAAAGAACAAACGACUCCUGGCAAAUGCAGCUCACACAUUUAUGCUAGGUUAGCAUAAAUGUUAAUCUAGCAUAAAUGUUAAUCUAGCAUAAAUGCCAAGUUUGCCAGUUGAAAUAAAUCAUGUUUUACUUUUGAGGUGUUUUAGAUGGUGAUUUUAUGAAUAUAUUGCUCUGUCUCGCUUUCAACUGCAUGUCAGAUACUGACUGCUCAGAACUGCACCACACAACCCACACAAUACUGUAAAAAAAAUAAAAAAAUAAAAAUAAAGCGUUAGGUCAAUUUGUACGGAAACUACAAUGGUGUAUUAGGACCGUAAAAAAAGAAGA